UGAUUUAGUUUGACAUUUUGACUUCAGAAUUUUUCAAAAGCCAGUGAUCGCUGGGGCUGGUGCGGCUGCUCUGGCUGGCUAGGCGAGUGUCUGCUUCCUCCCUCGCUGCUCCACCUGUGUCCUCCUGAAGCUGCACGCUCGGUGGGAGAGGACAGUCAUCCCCGAUCGAGGAGGAUCAUUUCUUUGGUUCAGGGUAUGAGCAGUUGCGCUGCCCCGCUAGAACCUCCGGAUGAGCUCUCAAAAGUAAUGUGAAAAGUCAUGCGUCUUUGUAUUGCUUGACAGCAGCGCGGAUUACAUGAGGUACAUUCUUGGC
rnacentral:snRNA from 1 species